AUUGUUUCAACCUUUAUUAAACAUAGCUUGCAAGAGAUAAAUAUUACAAAGUUAUUUCCUCCAAAAUUAGCUUAUUUUUUCAAUCAAUGCAUAAUUGUCAAUCAACUGGCAGUAUUCAAACAGCAUUAUUUUCUUCUACUUUUUUGAAGACCAUUAAAUAUCAAGUAUGUGCAAAAGGUCAGGAUUGAUGUAAGCAAAACUAAAAUGACUCAAAUAGUCUCUGGUCAGCAUCAUCAUUUGUUUUUGAUUCCCAGGAUGUUUAUUUCAAUGUUGUCAACACUAUGCAAAAUGCUUCUACAUGAAAAUUGAUAUAACUGAUUUUGCACUUAAAUCUUUCCCUGCAUUAGCAACAACAACUAAUAGAAUAUAAAGCCAAACAGUACAGGACCAUACAUGUUGUAUGCUGGUGUUGGCAGAAAAAGUGAUCACUGAUUCAGAGCGAACCCUUCACAGGUGAAGCAGGUCGGACCAGGAAACACCUACUGUGAGAGCUUAUUGGCAAAGUCUGACAUACGCGGUUAUAUUCAGUAGACUAUUUUAUGCCAAAAACACAAUAGUGUUACCCCUAGAAUUACAUAUUUCUUAGUGAGGAAAGAAAACAAAAUAGAAAUAGCAUGUAAACAAUGCUAAAAAGCUAGAAUCCUCUUGAAACUUUAGUUUGGAUUCUGUCAAUGAUUUUCUGUGUUUAAGCCACUAAUUACCAAUCAUGAUUACUGACCAUUUGUCACUGUCCAUUCAUCAAGUCAAUGAUUUUUUUUGUAUGUUUUAGGAAUCAAUUUCCAUCCUUUGUGCUGCUUACAGUACCACCAGAUGACUUUCCAGAAUCAGUGUCCUUGUUAGAUUUUUCUGUUGAAGAAUCUGUCCCGUGUGUUUGUUGAUUAUUUAUUAACACUGGAACUCUAGAAAUCAUUGAUUUGGAAAUGACUUGUUAUUGUAUCUUACAUCACAAUCAAUUUAGCAUGUACAGCGCAGCAGAGCAACUUUCAGUGGCCGUAGAAAGUCAUUGGCUGCUUGAAUAUGUGGACAUAAGAAAGUGGUCGGCGGUAAUGACUUGCAGCGAACAUCCAAACACUCCAAGGCGUCAGUUUGACUCUGAAUCAAUCAGUUAAGGAGGGUUCAUCUAAUCCAAACAUUCAAAGUGCUUUAAUCUAGAACUUGUUCAGGAAACAAUUCUGUAAGGAACAAAGUUAUUUCAAGCUGCAAAAAUUCAACAGUAGACAAAUGUGUUUCAGACCUGCAGAUUCGAUCACUCUGAACCAGUCAUCACUCCUCUGCAAACGUUAACUAGUCCAAAAUUAAAGCCAAUGCAUCCAGCGAGACUGCUUUAAGAAGCAGAGGGGGGGGGGGGGAAGAAUCCCAAACAUUUUGCACAUUUGUUACACAAUAAUACACAGUGAUCACAAAACGAAAUGACAAGCUUCACAAUAUUCAUGGCUUUUUGUUUGCUUUUCUACACAAUGUACAACCAUUUAAUUUCUUUUUUCAGUACAAGGGAGGAAAAAAUGCUUAUUUACAAUAAGUCAUUAUUACUUCAAACCUAGCAAAUAUCGUGUCAUUUAUUUCAUAGUCAAUACAUUUAUUUAGUUUUUUAAACUGCAAUAGAAACAAAACAGAACUCAAAUGGGACAUCAGAAUAACAAUGACUUUUGAAAUCUAAGAAUUAAUAUUUGAAAAGAAUCUGUAGUCCAAAUACAAAGGUGUGUGGAUGCAUCUGCAAAAGAGUAAGAGAGACAGGAGUUGUUUUUCAUUUUUUAAAUUUAAACUUCACCAUGGCAGCAAAAGUAGAGAUACAUGACAAAAAUUGCUAAAUCAGAUCAUGAGCGGCAGUCAAAAUUUGCCCAGGCAUUAAAAAAAUUGUGAAACUAUAUCACUACGUCCAAUUUCAAUUGUUCCACUAAUGAGAAAAAUGAGACUUUUUAAUAUAUUUAAACAAAAAUCUGUAGUUUGUACAUGUAAACUUCAGUUUACACCUCUGAAACUAAUUCUAGGUAGUUUCAUAGUCUUAGUUUAUGUCUUCUACUUCAGCUGGCUGUUUAUUUUCGGUUCAUUCUGACAUAGUGACAGGCAGGUCUGGAUUACUCAAACACAACCAUAACACGUCCAUCUGACCGUGGCUGAAAAAAAAAAUACAAAAGCAACCACUGUGGCCUGUAGACAGUGAAACUGUAAUGAUGCAGAACAAGUCUAACAGUGACACAGAUUACACAUAAAUACAAUUACAAGAGCUGUGCAAUCGCAUCACAAUCUCAACCAUGUGGAGCUCCAUUCUGGAAUCUAUCAGAGCCAACUGUUAGUUAAUAAAGGCUCCAACAGAUAUUAUUCUCUUGUGUAUUAGAUCAGUUUAAUAACAUUAUAGUAGAAGUAAGCUUUUUAUAUAUUACUGAAGUAACUUCACUGUUCUAAGUGGCCUUCUCUUAAGAUGAGGAGCCCACACAAGAAGUGAAACUGAAGCUAGCUGUGGUAGCCUGGACUAAACAAUACAUUUGCCGUACUGAUUUUUUCAUUUGUACUGGGGGAAAAAAAAUCAAACUAUCAAGUUUUCUGCUACUGAAUUAGCAAGAAAAAUAGAGUGUUUCCCAAAAAAAGGACGAUCACAUGGUUGUUAAAAUACAGAGUUUUCACAUUUUGCUAGUAAUCUGUAGAUGACAAAUAUUUUGUUUAGAACACGACAAAAUAAAGCUCCUGUAUCACGUUUUAGUAUUGUUUCCCAAAAAAAGGACGAUCACAUGGUUGUUAAAAUACAGAGUUUUCACAUUUUGCUAGUAAUCUGUAGAUGACAAAUAUUUUGUUUAGAACACGACAAAAUAAAGCUCCUGUAUCACGUUUUAGUAUGUUUUCCACAUUUGCCAACCUUUAAUCAGAGAUUUGCAUGGAUUUCAUACUUCAGGUUUUGAAGCAUAAAAUCCCCCAACACAGUAAAAAUAACAAUUAUUAUUAUUAUUAUUAUUAUUAUUAUUAUUAUUAUUAUUAUUAUUAUUCAUCUGCCCAAAAUCUGUGUUGCUGAUAAAAUAUUAUUAGUUUCUUUAUGAUUUCCUGAACUCUGAAAAUUCUAUUUGGGUGUAAUGGUAAAAUAUAUCUAACUACAGCAGCUUACAUUAUAGUAUAAUGUGUUUUCAUCAUUACUUGCUGCCAUAUUUUGUUACUUAAU
ensembl:lncRNA